rnacentral:misc_RNA from 1 species
GAACCGAUUCUAUGUUUCUCCGGCUAUGCGAAAGCAGCAGCAGCAGCAGGGGUCGUCGAUUUCCAAGAAUUGUACGGUGGAGAGCGAGAAGAGAACGGAUUCCGAUCAAUGUGGCUCAGUGUCUUCGUCGUCGUUCACGUCAAAUUGUUGUUGUUCGGUUUCGGGCCGGGUUGAGGGCGAGUGUAAUUCCACGAAUUUAGAUCGGUUCUUGAAGUACACUACUCCUGUGGUUCCUG